rnacentral:rRNA from 1 species
CCCGCUAAUGGGUGACGGCGUGCCCCUUGCAGAAUGAACCCGCGCGUUACGAUUGCCUGCAAGGUUAAGGGGGAAAAACCGGCGCCGUCGCGCAAGCGGGGCUUAAAAGGGCGGAAGAAGUAUGUAGUUGUGAACCCCAAACCAGGGGACCUACCCCUGUCCAGGGGGAAGGUGCGGGAAAGCGCCCCGGGAGACCGACCCCCGGUGCCGUGGAAAAGGGCGGGGGUGGGGGGGGGGGGCGGGGGAAGUCCCAACCGA